rnacentral:sRNA from 1 species
CUUUUUAUAUAUAUAUAUAUCUAGUUAUGGUUCGCAGGAGCCUCCCGGGCUAGUCUGAUAACUAAGGUACUUGAGGAACUAAGCCCCAAAGCUCCUGCUAGAUUAUUUUUGCCGUUUGUGUUGCAGAUUUGCCUUAUUCCUUAGGCUUUUCUGUGUCAAAAAAGCGGCUAUAUCUCUCUUUUCUGUGUAUGUUUUGCUUUGAGCUGUGUUUGUUGAUGGUAUCGAUUUGGUAUCAACGUUUGUUUAUGUGGCAAUGAUUAUAAACUUACCCGCGCUUCUGAGA